CACUUUCAGGUUUCCUUAAUUAUUUUAAGAGUCCGGAUGUAUUGGAUAAUCGGAUCUCUUUCAGAACGUGUCUAGUCCCGGGAUCCUGCCUGUGAUUUAUAUUAAGCAGGUGCUAGUUUGCUAGAGCUCUCAAAAUGUUGGCUACAGACCACAGGGGAGGCUUGGGCAGAGAGAAGGACUUAAAACGGUAUUGCUCCAUAACUGGGAAAUGGUCUUCCCGCUGACAUUCAGUGUGCCAGGGCUAUUUAUUAAACUCCCAAGAAGUAUAUUUCAAUAGGGGGGAAGGUAAAGAAGCUCGCAGCGAAAGCUCAAAUUCCAUCAUCCCCUCGCCAGUUGUGCCUGUGUGUUCUGUGACUCUCAGGAUAGUCAAUGAUUUAAUAAGGUGAACAGAAGACUGAAUACUCUGCUCAAGAAGGCAACAGAGAAGGCAAAGGACUAUAAAGAACUUUGACCAAGGAAGCCUCAAGUUCAAGUGAUAGAAUGGGGCUGCUGGGUUUGUCUUGAAGAGGAUCAGUCCCUGAGCCAGAAGUGGCUUGCUUGGUUGCAAGGUGGAAACAUACUGAGGCAUACUGAUCUCCCUGCUUUGGAGCCAGACUGCCCUAGGAUUGCUCCUGAUCCAUAAAAGCCCAGAACUAGGACUCUAUAGAGGGAAAGCUUCCUCUUUCACCUUAAGUAAUGCUCUUUUAUUAUGUGACAAUAAAUGAAGCUAUUUAAUAGAAAGGUGGAAAGAGGGAGCAGAACAAAAGUCCAAGAAGAAAUGUGCAUCUCUUCAAAAUCAUUUCCCCCCUUUUUUUCACCAUGUCUGCCUUUGCCAACCAAAGAGAUGGGUCCUGGACUGGUGAUGUGUCAAGGCUGGCAACUGAUUGGCAGUUUGGAGGAAUGGCUGGCCCCAUUUCCAUGGAAGUUGCUUCCCUGGAUGCUAAUUGAGAGGGAAUUGGCACAGAAAGACACGAUUUUCCCAAGAAAUUGUUAAUAUUGUAGACCUUGGAGUUCCACAAGUAAUAACUAGAAGUUGGAAGAAGAAUAUACCACCUUUCUCUCUCACUUCAAUCUCCCUACCCUCAACAUAGACAGGCAGGGAACAGGGGACCAAGAGAGUAAUUUCAUAUGAAGAGCUCUCAUAUUUCAGACUUUUAGUGACUAGAGAUUUGUAUACAUCUUUGAAAUUAAUAGUUGCUCAUUUAAGGUUUUGCUUUUUCUUUCCAGUAAGUCUUUUUUCUGUGUAAGGAGAGAAUAUCAUAUGUACUUUACCCCAGAUAACCUGUGAAAAAUAAGAGUGAAAAAAUUCCCUAAUGUACCUAAGCCCUUGGUGUCGUUAAUGAAUGCAAGCAUUUUCAAAAGCUAGUAUGAUUUCAGUCUCUGAAUCAUCAUAACUUCUGUAGCAAGGGAAAUUACAGGGUGCAAAGAGUUUUGAUUGACAAGCCCUCAAGACUCAGAAUUCUUCCAUUGCUGACAGGAAAAGUUCCAAACUGUUGAAGACAGUUCCCCAACUGACAGUCUGGAGCUGGGAAGUGAAGCCUGAAGGGUGCAGAUCUAAUCUCUCCAGGACCCUCUUGGACAUCUUGGAAGCAGCCAUCAAGCAAGAGUGAGCAGGAGUUUCCCUCAAUACCCUCUGGUGGACAGAGAGAAAAAUUGGAGGAAAUCAGUCUCUCUUUUGGACAUCUGAGAACUCAGCUGGAUUCCUGUAGCUGACCCAUCAAAGGAUUCACUGAGUGUGAAAAAUUUGGUUACCUGUUGGACUUGCCUUUAGGAAUUUAUGUAAUUAGUUAAGGUAGUUAAAUAGUAUGUUUAAUUAGAAGGUAAAGCAGUCAGAUUUCCUUUCUCCCACUUUCCUUCCUCCCUUCAUCCCUUCUCUGUUAAUAAAUUCAAUAUUAUUUAUAUGUGCUAUUUUCCCUUUGUAUUACCUUCCUUCCCUCUUUCCAAAAUAUAGAUUUAACACUUCAAAUGAAUGAAACUGGAAUUGAGCUGAUAGUUUAUAUCUUUUCCUCAUAAUCUUGAAGUUAUAAAUUCACUAAAACAAUGUCUUGGAAGAUUCAAACAUUCCUUAAAGAAUCUGGUAGUGUACCAAGUUAGAAGAUUCAAUUUUCUCCAGAGAGUCCAGCCAAGAAAAUUAACUAUUGUUUUCUUCAAGGGAAGCCUCAAGAGGGAAAUUCCUUGGAGAGCUAUAGGCCAUUAAGGACAGAAGGGACUGGCCCAAAGCAGAUCCAUAGGUCUACAGCCCUCUUAAUGCUUUCCUAUUGACUAAAUUCUCUAAGGAUUUCCCAAUAUUGUGUAGUGGGAAUGUUCCCUCAGUGAGAAAUCCCCACUUAUAUGGCUAAAAUGUUCAGAAAAUUUCUCUGAGGAAAAGUAACAAACCAAAGGUAAAUUUUCCUCAAAGAUUUCAUAUUAAGAUCACCCAAUUGCAUAGCUUCCUAAUUAAUACAGCAACCAGACAAUUUAAACAAGAUAUAUAUUUUUGAAUAAGAUUAAACUAAUUGAAAUUCAUCUUGAAAUUCAAACUUAUACUAGAGAGCAAAGGGAAUUAUCAAUUUGGCUUCAUCUUCUCAGCUGAACAAAGUGUUCGCAUAUACAAUAAGGUUUGCAACUUUUGGGAUUCUCCAACUCUUUUUGAGAUUGUAAAGGACUCUUUAUUCACUUAGGUAAACUGUCUUUUCUCAGAUGUUUCAUAUUUAUAUGGUAUGUUCUCUCUAGACAAGAGAGCUAUAAUCUAUAUUACUUCUUUGUUUUUUUAAAUAAACUUUAAAAUCUUUUAAA